rnacentral:rRNA from 1 species
UCGCCGGGUAAAAUCCGUAGAGAUCAGAAGGAAUACCGAUUGCGAAGGCGAUCUACUGGAACAAUAUUGACGCUGAGACGCGAAAGCGUGGGGAGCAAACAGGAUUAGAUACCCUGGUAGUCCACGCCCUAAACGAUGUACACUAGUUGUUGUGAGGCUCGACCUUGCAGUAAUGCAGUUAACACAUUAAGUGUACCGCCUGGGGAGUACGGUCGCAAGAUUAAAACUC